CCUUCCACCAAUAGUUCUAUCUCAUAGUUUUGUACAUUUUAGUGCUUCCUGGAUGUAAAGUAUAGGCUGAACAAUGAGUUUCUUCCAUUAUAUACUUUCUAAGAUCCCCUUUCUUUGAAACACAUAUUCAGCUUCUGUACAUUAGGGUACCAUCCUUUUUGAUUGAAAAUUCUAUCUGUAGCUAAUGAACACUUGAAUUA
rnacentral:lncRNA from 1 species